rnacentral:rRNA from 1 species
UGGCCUUGACAUAGACAGAAUUUAGUAGAGAUAUAAAAGUGCCAGUUUACUGGAGCUGUUAUACAGGUGCUGCACGGCUGUCGUCAGCUCGUGUCGUGAGAUGUUGGGUUAAGUCCCGCAACGAGCGCAACCCACGUCAUUAGUUACUAACGGUUUGGCCGAGGACUCUAAUGAGACUGCCUGGGUAACCAGGAGGAAGGUGUGGACGACGUCAAGUCAUCAUGGCCCUUACGGCGCAGGGCUACACACGUGCUACAAUGGGGUAUACAGAGAGCAGCGAUACCGCGAGGUGGAGCAAAUCUUUAAAAUAUCUCCCAGUUCGGAUAGCACUCUGCAACUCGAGUGCUUGAAGUUGGAAUCGCUAGUAAUCGUAGAUCAGCAAUGCUACGGUGAAUACGUUCCCGGGUCU